GACGAACGCUGGCGGCGUGCUUAACACAUGCAAGUCGAACGGAAAGGCCCCUUUGGGGGUACUCGAGUGGCGAACGGGUGCGUAACACGUGAGUAACCUGCCCUUGACUUCGGGAUAACUUCAGGAAACUGGGGCUAAUACCGGAUAGGAAUCCUUGCUGCAUGGGGGGGGUUGGAAAGCUUCGGCGGUUUUGGAUGGACUCGCGGCUUAUCAGCUUGUUGGUGGGGUAGUGGCUUACCAAGGCUUUGACGGGUAGCCGGCCUGAGAGGGCGACCGGCCACAUUGGGACUGAGAGACGGCCCAGACGCCUACGGGAGGCAGAAGGGGGGAAUAUUGCACAAUGGGCGGAAGCCUGAUGCAGAAACGCCGCGGGCGGGAUGACGGUCUUCGGGUUGGAAAACGCUUUCAGCAGGGGCGAAGCUUGUGGUGACGGUACCUGCAGAAGAAGCACCGGCUAACUACGUG
rnacentral:rRNA from 1 species